rnacentral:rRNA from 1 species
UACGAAGGGGGCGAGCGUUGUUCGGAAUUACUGGGCGUAAAGGGCGCGUAGGCGGCGACUCAAGUUAGAUGUGAAAGUCCUGGGCUUAACCUGGGGACUGCAUUUGAUACUGGGUUGCUUGAAUUCGGGAGAGGAUAGCGGAAUUCCCAGUGUAGAGGUGAAAUUCGUAGAUAUUGGGAAGAACACCAGUGGCGAAGGCGGCUCACUGGACCGGUAUUGACGCUGAGGUGCGAAAGCGUGGGGAGCAAACAGG